rnacentral:misc_RNA from 1 species
GAAAUGCGAUAAGUAAUGUGAAUUGCAGAAUUCAGUGAAUCAUCGAAUCUUUGAACGCACAUUGCGCCCGCCAGUAUUCUGGCGGGCAUGCCUGUUCGAGCGUCAUUACAACCCUCAGGCCCCCGGGCCUGGCGUUGGGGAUCGGCGGAAGCCCCCUGCGGGCACAACGCCGUCCCCCCAAUACAGUGGCGGUCCCGCCGCAGCUUCCAUUGCGUAGUAGCUAACACCUCGCAACUGGAGAGCGGCGCGGCCACGCCGUAAAACACCCAACUUCUGAAUGUUGACCUCGAAUCAGGUAGGAAUACCCGCUGAACUUAAGC